AGAACCCUACGAACGUCUUCGAAGGGAUGCUCUUUCGUCUUUGGGAUAGGAGGAGGCUGCUUGCUGUUUGCUGCUGCUGCUGCUGCUGCUGCUGCUGCUGCUGCUGACGACCGGAAGACCUUGGCGGAAAGACGUCACGUGCGGCCCUUGCAUCCGAUUACCAUUUUGAAAGAACACGACGAGGAGACUUCUUGCUUCGAAGAGGGUUAGAAGUAGAACCGUAUGUAGGAUACCCACCGCAAAGAAAGGGCUCGUCAAACGUUCUCGUUCAAAGGAUCGACGAGCAAGAAAAAAGGAAAAAGGAAAAAGAAGAGAACACGUGAGAAGCAGAAAACGAAACUCGUAGUCUAUCGCGUUUACAAUCUUCUAAGAAGCUUUCGUAAGAGAGUUUAAGCAAGAUCUAGGAGCUGAAAAGCCACGGAGAACGGGAGCGAUAUCGUUGGCAGUAGCAUUUCGGAAGGCAAUCGCGAUUUUACUACGACACGUUACGUUAUCCUUUAGGUCUUUCUAAAGGCCCCUUUAAAAACGAUUUAACAGAUUGGCCGAUUUGCGUCUGGCCAAUAGUUUACGCGAGCGUACGGUGUGUGUUUUCGAGAUAGCUACCGUGACAGCUGAACGAGACCACGAGACAGGAGGAGGAGGAGAGUACUAUUCCAGGAUAUAAAGCAGGCGAGAUACGCGUAGCGUAUAACUAAUGUCCG